CAGUAGCCGCGGUAAUACAGAGGGUGCAAGCGUUAAUCGGAAUUACUGGGCGUAAAGCGCGCGUAGGUGGUUUGUUAAGUUGGAUGUGAAAUCCCCGGGCUCAACCUGGGAACUGCAUCCAAAACUGGCAAGCUAGAGUAUGGUAGAGGGUGGUGGAAUUUCCUGUGUAGCUGUGAAAUGCGUAGAUAUAGGAAGGAACACCAGUGGCGAAGGCGACCACCUGGACUGAUACUGACACUGAGGUGCGAAAGCGUGGGGAGCAAACAGGAUUAGAUACCCGCGUGUCCCUGUCUCUUAUACA
rnacentral:rRNA from 1 species